AAUUGCUUCUAAGAGAGAAACAAAGCAAGCAGGUAUACGCUGAUCACUUUCCAUCAGGAAUACCUCUGGAAGACUGGCAAAAAGGAAGCGGAGAUGACCACAUUGUCAGCUGUGCUGUAAGAGUUACCAGUCUCAACCAUCACCACACCUUGAUUUUUCCUGGACCGAUAGAAAGAAGUGACCACCUUUUUCACUGCUUCAGGAGCAAAUGGGUAACAUUUCGAAAGACUGUAGCAUUAACCUCAUCUGGGGCAUGAGCUGUUGGCUACAAUGAAAGACACUACAAGUUUCUUAGGCUGUGGUUGGAAAAGUCUUUGAGGAUCUAAUAGCAAGUAAGGUUCUCCCUGAUGAUUGACUGGCUCACUGCAGACAGCCUGAGAAGUUAAGAAAUGUACUUUUGAUCUUUUUGUAACAUCAGUGAAAUGAAAUUAGCGGGAAUAGUUUUAACUUCACAAUUUGCUGGAAGACAAAGGAAACAACAACCACCAAUUGGAAAGAGCCCUGCUGCUCUUCAGGACAUGCGGGAAUUAGUAGACAGAAGUGGAAGAAACUUUUUUUCCUCUGAUAGGACAACUGGAAUAGAGACUGAAGCAGGGAAAGUACGGAAGAAACAACAACAAGCUGUGUUGCCUUGAUGCAGAAGUGGAAACAAACAGCCAGAAAAUUCAGCACAGAAAUGAAGCUUUAAAAACAGAGAAAAGCCUGUCCAGUGCUUCUUUCUUUUGUGCUGUGGUGUUGUGGUUGCUGUUUUCCAUGAAGAAAAUGUUAUAAAAUAGAGGCCUCUUGUACUUUUGGGACAUCAGACUUCUUGGAUUCCUAUUAUUAGAAGCUCAGUGAAGCGUCAAAUUCCAAAAUAUUUCUCUAACACAAAGGACCUGUCUGAAUACCUGUCUGCCACAAUGAAGAAUCCAAGCAGUUUAAAGAGUAAAAGUUCUCCAGCAUCCUCACAUAAAUAAAAGUAUCCCUUCAAAGAGACAGACACAGGUGGAUUUUGUAAUCUUACGUGACAACUAAAUCAAGGUUUCAAGAG